UAACGGAGCAGUAGGUGGUACUGCUGUAACGGAGCAGUAGGUGGUGCUGCUGUAACGGGGUAACGGAGCAGUAGGUGGUACUGCUGUAACGGGGUAACGGAGCAGUAGGUGGUGCUGCUGUAACGGGGUA